GGGGGUGAAAGGCCAAUCAAACCGGGAGAUAGCUGGUUCUCCCCGAAAGCUAUUUAGGUAGCGCCUCGUGAAUUCAUCUCCGGGGGUAGAGCACUGUUUCGGCUAGGGGGCCAUCCCGGCUUACCAACCCGAUGCAAACUGCGAAUACCGGAGAAUGUUAUCACGGGAGACACACGGCGGGUGCUAACGUCCGUCGUGAAGAGGGAAACAACCCAGACCGCCAGCUAAGGUCCCAAAGUCAUGGUUAAGUGGGAAACGAUGUGGGAAGGCCCAGACAGCCAGGAUGUUGGCUUAGAAGCAGCCAUCAUUUAAAGAAAGCGUAAUAGCUCACUGGUCGAGUCGGCCUGCGCGGAAGAUGUAACGGGGCUAAACCAUGCACCGAAGCUGCGGCAGCGAACGUAUCACCCAAGACAACUUUACGGAGUUGACGAUUGACGGAGCGAAGCGACGUCAAAGCGUUCAUUAAAGUCGAGUUGGCUUAGGGAUACGUUCGUUGGGUAGGGGAGCGUUCUGUAAGCCUGUGAAGGUGUGUCGUGAGGCAUGCUGGAGGUAUCAGAAGUGCGAAUGCUGACAUAAGUAACGAUAAAGCGGGUGAAAAGCCCGCUCGCCGGAAGACCAAGGGUUCCUGUCCAACGUUAAUCGGGGCAGGGUGAGUCGACCCCUAAGGCGAGGCCGAAAGGCGUAGUCGAUGGGAAACGGGUUAAUAUUCCCGUACUUGGUGUUACUGCGAAGGGGGGACGGAGAAGGCUAUGUUGGCCGGGCGACGGUUGUCCCGGUUUAAGCGUGUAGGUGUGUGUUCCAGGUAAAUCCGGUUCACUUUAACACUGAGGCGUGACGACGAGGCACUACGGUGCUGAAGCAACAAAUGCCCUGCUUCCAGGAAAAGCCUCUAAGCAUCAGGUAACAUCAAAUCGUACCCCAAACCGACACAGGUGGUCAGGUAGAGAAUACCAAGGCGCUUGAGAGAACUCGGGUGAAGGAACUAGGCAAAAUGGUGCCGUAACUUCGGGAGAAGGCACGCUGACACGUAGGUGAAGUGAUUUACUCAUGGAGCUGAAGUCAGUCGAAGAUACCAGCUGGCUGCAACUGUUUAUUAAAAACACAGCACUGUGCAAACACGAAAGUGGACGUAUACGGUGUGACGCCUGCCCGGUGCCGGAAGGUUAAUUGAUGGGGUCAGCGCAAGCGAAGCUCCUGAUCGAAGCCCCGGUAAACGGCGGCCGUAACUAUAACGGUCCUAAGGUAGCGAAAUUCCUUGUCGGGUAAGUUCCGACCUGCACGAAUGGCGUAAUGAUGGCCAGGCUGUCUCCACCCGAGACUCAGUGAAAUUGAACUCGCUGUGAAGAUGCAGUGUACCCGCGGCAAGACGGAAAGACCCCGUGAACCUUUACUAUAGCUUGACACUGAACAUUGAGCCUUGAUGUGUAGGAUAGGUGGGAGGCUUUGAAGUGUGGACGCCAGUCUGCAUGGAGCCGACCUUGAAAUACCACCCUUUAAUGUUUGAUGUUCUAACGUGGACCCGUAAUCCGGGUUGCGGACAGUGUCUGGUGGGUAGUUUGACUGGGGCGGUCUCCUCCUAAAGAGUAACGGAGGAGCACGAAGGUUGGCUAAUCCUGGUCGGACAUCAGGAGGUUAGUGCAAUGGCAUAAGCCAGCUUGACUGCGAGCGUGACGGCGCGAGCAGGUGCGAAAGCAGGUCAUAGUGAUCCGGUGGUUCUGAAUGGAAGGGCCAUCGCUCAACGGAUAAAAGGUACUCCGGGGAUAACAGGCUGAUACCGCCCAAGAGUUCAUAUCGACGGCGGUGUUUGGCACCUCGAUGUCGGCUCAUCACAUCCUGGGGCUGAAGUAGGUCCCAAGGGUAUGGCUGUUCGCCAUUUAAAGUGGUACGCGAGCUGGGUUUAGAACGUCGUGAGACAGUUCGGUCCCUAUCUGCCGUGGGCGCUGGAGAACUGAGGGGGGCUGCUCCUAGUACGAGAGGACCGGAGUGGACGCAUCACUGGUGUUCGGGUUGUCAUGCCAAUGGCACUGCCCGGUAGCUAAAUGCGGAAGAGAUAAGUGCUGAAAGCAUCUAAGCACGAAACUUGCCCCGAGAUGAGUUCUCCCUGAGACUUAG
rnacentral:rRNA from 1 species